AAUUCUUACACAACAUAACACUCCAUGCUCACUCAUUCACUGUAAUUAUCUUGAACCCCUAAUUGUAGAGAAAAAAAUGUACAAAUAUAAUGAAGAUGAGAAUAAGUACGAUAUGUUUUCACAAGUACGUUUCACACAAGUAUUUCAACAAAAAUUAACUAUCAAGUCUGCCUAACAUGUGUGCAUGCAUCUGUAUGCUUUAACUCACGCAAAGUCUUCUAAAAAUGAACAUGUUCCAUAUAUGUCGUGUGACUCGUGUCCUUGCAACCAUGUCCAAUUCUAGGAUGUGUGUCAUAUCUGAUUUUUACAUUCUAGUGUAGAAAAUAUUUUGAUAUGUACCUGCAUCCCUAUUCUCCUUCAUAUAUACUAGAGGAUUUAUAUCAACUAUGGCAAUGAUAAUGUCCUCUAUGCAGUAACUCAGUUAGCACAAACUGUGAUGCGUAGUGCUAUUGGAAAAAUGCCACUUGACAGGACCUUUAUGGAGAGAGACACUAUAAAUGCAAACAUUGUGAGAUGCAGCACAUCAUUAGUGUUACUUCCAUGUCUUUAUCCAUCAGUAUAAAAUAAACUUUCACUGGCCCACACAACAUAGAGGUAAAGGUGUUGAGCAUCAGAAACAAAGUCCCUUACUCGUGAUCGUGGUGUUACUUGCCUUACUGCAAGAGAGAAAAUUUCAGCAAUCGGAAUUCUGCAAUACAGAAUUAUAGUGAUUUGAUCACUUAAAAUUAAGGGCUAUAGCUUUAAAGGUUGCCAGUUUCCCAGCAAAAAACUCUAUCAAUUUCAUUUUCUAUUACGAGUUUAAGAUGUAAAAAGAACAUGCAACAAGAGCAGUUAAACUCAACUGCAAUCUUGAAUUCUGAUCAGUCUGCAAGGAGUGAAGAACAAAGACUUCUGCCAGUCCUGUCAAAAAUUGACCAAUCUGAAACCUGACCAGACUUAAACCUCAAAAUAACAGUGCAGGCAGUUAACCUCUAUAUUGUCCUUAUGGCGCGUUCAAUUUGCUUUAAACUUAAAAGAUUCCAACAAAUACAUUUUUUUAAGCAGUAGCAGAAUAGCAAUAGCAGAACAGCAAAGCAAUGCAAGCAGUAGCAGAAUAGCAAUAGCAGAACAGCAAAGCAAUGCAAGCAGUAGCAGAAUAGCAAUAGCAGAACAGCAAAGCAAUGCAAGCAGUAGCAGAAUAGCAUUAGCAGAACAGCAAGCAGAACACAAAGUAGCAGAAGCAGAACAAUAGUAGCAGAAGCAGUAGCAGAACAUCAGUAGCAGUAGCAGAAGCAGAACAGCAGUAGUUAUGAUAUCCUGGCUGUGAUAGUUCUUGGAGUUAUCGGAGGUGUUCUGGGCAGCUUUUAUAAUUAUCUUGUUGACAUGCACUAUCGUUCACAACGUUGUAUCCUGGCUGUGAUAUGUUUUUUUUUUCAGUUUUUAAAGUGUAAUAUUACAAGUUAUUGAGGCAAAUAUAUGUG